rnacentral:rRNA from 1 species
CUACGGGUUGCACCAGUGGGGAAUAUUGCACAAUGGGCGCAAGCCUGAUGCAGCCAUGCCGCGUGUAUGAAGAAGGCCUUCGGGUUGUAAAGUACUUUCAGCGGGGAGGAAGGGAGUGAAGUUAAUACCUUUGCUCAUUGACGUUACCCGCAGAAGAAGCACCGGCUAACUCCGUGCCAGCAGCCGCGGUAAUACGGAGGGUGCAAGCGUUAAUCGGAAUUACUGGGCGUAAAGCGCACGCAGGCGGUUUGUUAAGUCAGAUGUGAAAUCCCCGGGCUCAACCUGGGAACUGCAUCUGAUACUGGCAAGCUUGAGUCUCGUAGAGGGGGGUAGAAUUCCAGGUGUAGCGGUGAAAUGUGUAGAGAUCUGGAGGAAUACCGGUGGCGAAGGCGGCCCCCUGGACGAAGACUGACGCUCAGGUGCGAAAGCGUGGGGAGCAAACAGGAUUAGAUACCCCCGUAGUC